rnacentral:rRNA from 1 species
UCGGGAAUUUUGGGCAAUGGGCGAAAGCCUGACCCAGCAACGCCGCGUGAAGGAUGAAGUAUUUCGGUAUGUAAACUUCGAAAGAAUAGGAAGAAUAAAUGACGGUACUAUUUAUAAGGUCCGGCUAACUACGUGCCAGCAGCCGCGGUAAUACGUAGGGACCAAGCGUUGUUCGGAUUUACUGGGCGUAAAGCGCGCGUAGGUGGUUAGUUAAGUUGGAUGUGAAAUCCCCGGGCUCAACCUGGGAACUGCAUUCAAAACUGACUGACUAGAGUAUGGUAGAGGGUGGUGGAAUUUCCUGUGUAGCGGUGAAAUGCGUAGAUAUAGGAAGGAACACCAGUGGCGAAGGCGACCACCUGGACUGAUACUGACACUGAGGUGCGAAAGCGUGGGGAGCAAACAGGAUUAGAUACCCAUGUAGUCCCUGAGCGGGCUGGCAAGGCGCAU